rnacentral:lncRNA from 1 species
UCCUAAACGUUCCUGAUCAUAGGAUUGCCAAUUGGGCAUUGACAGUCCGUUAAGAUCAAUACGUGCUGUGUCUUCUCUCAGGGAGAGUGACUGGUCUCGAGUCAUUAGUGUGAUUGACACCAAGACAAGCAUGUAGGUGCUCAAUAGUGAAUGAGUCCACUGAACACGAUCAACGAGGAGUUCUCAUACUCAUAUCAUGAGAACUCAUGGUUGGGAUAAUGCAAAGUAGUCCUUUGACCUGAGGCAUCAUAGUUGUCUUGUGGUUAAGUCCUUGAUCUUUGUGAAGGAAAAAUUUUGUCCUAGCUAAGAACAAGUAAGAACAUUUGAAUACAUAUGCAUACUAUUAACACUUUAAAGUAGGCAUGCAUUACAAAACAAUUCAUAAAACCCAUGACUUUCA